rnacentral:rRNA from 1 species
GAUGAACGCUGGCGGCGUGCCUAAUACAUGCAAGUCGAGCGAACAGAUAAGGAGCUUGCUCCUUUGACGUUAGCGGCGGACGGGUGAGUAACACGUGGGUAACCUACCUAUAAGACUGGAAUAACUCCGGGAAACCGGGGCUAAUGCCGGAUAAUAUUUAGAACCGCAUGGUUCUAAAGUGAAAGAUGGUUUUACUAUCACUUAUAGAUGGACCCGCGCCGUAUUAGCUAGUUGGUGGGGUAAUGGCUUACCAAGGCAACGAUACGUAGCCGACCUGAGAGGGUGAUCGGCCACACUGGAACUGAGACACGGUCCAGACUCCUACGGGAGGCAGCAGUAGGGAAUCUUCCGCAAUGGGCGAAAGCCUGACGGAGCAACGCCGCGUGAGUGAUGAAGGUCUUCGGAUCGUAAAACUCUGUUAUUAGGGAAGAACAAAUGUGUAAGUAACUGUGCACGUCUUGACGGUACCUAAUCAGAAAGCCACGGCUAACUACGUGCCAGCAGCCGCGGUAAUACGUAGGUGGCAAGCGUUAUCCGGAA